rnacentral:rRNA from 1 species
GCAUGUCUAAGUACAAGCCGCUAUCGGCGAAACCGCGAAUGGCUCAAUAAAUCAGUUAUGGUUCCUUAGAUAAUUCCAUCCUACUUGGAUAACUGUGGUAAUUCUAGAGCUAAUACAUGCACUCAAGCCCCGACUCUCGGGUCUCGGCCCGGGCAGGAGGGGUGCUUUUAUUAGAUCAAAACCAAUCGAGGCGCUAAGCCGGCGGAGGGGCCUCGGUCCUUUCGUCGGUGCCUCGUUCCGUUUGGUGACUCUGAAUAACUUUUUGCUGAUCGCACGGCCUCGAGCCGGCGACGCAUCUUUCAAAUGUCUGCCUUAUCAACUUUCGAUGGUAGGUUAUGCGCCUACCAUGGUUGCUACGGGUAACGGGGAAUCGGGGUUCGAUUCCGGAGAGGGAGCCUGAGAAACGGCUACCACAUCCAAGGAAGGCAGCAGGCGCGCAAAUUACCCACUCCCGGCACGGGGAGGUAGUGACGAAAAAUAACGAUACGGGACUCUUCCGAGGCUCCGUGAUUGGAAUGAGUACACUUUAAACCCUUUAACGAGGAUCUAUUGGAGGGCAAGUCUGGUGCCAGCAGCCGCGGUAACUCCAGCUCCAAUAGCGUAUAUUAAAGUUGUUGCGGUUAAAAAGCUCGUAGUUGGAUUUCUGUCUUCGGCCGGGCGGUGCCGCCUGAUAAUCAAGGGCGCGCACUGCUUUUGGAGCGCCGGUGUCAAAGCCGCGCUCUUUUAACGGUCGGACAAUACCACCGGAGUGG